rnacentral:rRNA from 1 species
GAACGCUAGCGGGAUGCUUUACACAUGCAAGUCGAACGGCAGCGCGGACUUCGGUCUGGCGGCGAGUGGCGAACGGGUGAGUAAUGUAUCGGAACGUGCCUAGUAGCGGGGGAUAACUACGCGAAAGCGUGGCUAAUACCGCAUACGCCCUACGGGGGAAAGGGGGGGAUCGCAAGACCUCUCACUAUUAGAGCGGCCGAUAUCGGAUUAGCUAGUUGGUGGGGUAAAGGCCCACCAAGGCGACGAUCCGUAGCUGGUUUGAGAGGACGACCAGCCACACUGGGACUGAGACACGGCCCAGACUCCUACGGGAGGCAGCAGUGGGGAAUUUUGGACAAUGGGGGAAACCCUGAUCCAGCCAUCCCGCGUGUGCGAUGAAGGCCUUCGGGUUGUAAAGCACUUUUGGCAGGGAAGAAACGGCGCCUCUUAAUACGGGGCGUCACUGACGGUACCUGCAGAAUAAGCACCGGCUAACUACGUGCCAGCAGCCGCGGUAAUACGUAGGGUGCAAGCGUUAAUCGGAAUUACUGGGCGUAAAGCGUGCGCAGGCGGUUCGGAAAGAAAGAUGUGAAAUCCCAGAGCUUAACUUUGGAACUGCAUUUUUAACUACCGGGCUAGAGUAUGUCAGAGGGGGGUAGAAUUCCACGUGUAGCAGUGAAAUGCGUAGAGAUGUGGAGGAAUACCGAUGGCGAAGGCAGC